GAUGAAGAACGCAGCGAAAUGCGAUACGUAAUGUGAAUUGCAAAUUCAGUGAAUCAUCGAGUCUUUGAACGCACAUUGCGCCCCCUGGUAUUCCGGGGGGCAUGCCUGUCCGAGCGUCAUUGCUGCCCUCAAGCACGGCUUGUGUGUUGGGCCCCGUCCUCCGAUCCCGGGGGACGGGCCCGAAAGGCAGCGGCGGCACCGCGUCCGGUCCUCGAGCGUAUGGGGCUUUGUCACCCGCUCUGUUGGCCCGGCCGGCGCUUGCCGAUCAACCCAAAUUUUUAUCCAGGUUGACCUCGGAUCAGGUAGGGAUACCCGCUGAACUUAAGCAUAUCAAUAAGCGGAGGA
rnacentral:misc_RNA from 1 species